UACGUAGGGUGCAAGCGUUGUCCGGAAUCAUUGGGCGUAAAGCGCGCGUAGGCGGCCCGAUAAGUCCGCUGUAAAAGUCAACGGCUCAACUGUUGAAAGCCGGUGGAUACUGUCGGGCUAGAGUACGGAAGAGGCAAGUGGAAUUCUUGGUGUAGCGGUGAAAUGCGUAGAUAUCAAGAGGAACACCUGAGGUGAAGACGGGUUGCUGGGCCGACACUGACGCUGAGUGCGCGAAAGCCAGGGGAGCAAACGGG
rnacentral:rRNA from 1 species